GACGAACGCUGGCGGCGUGCUUAACACAUGCAAGUCGAACGGAAAGGCCCUGCUUUUGUGGGGUGCUCGAGUGGCGAACGGGUGAGUAACACGUGAGUAACCUGCCCUUGACUUUGGGAUAACUUCAGGAAACUGGGGCUAAUACCGGAUAGGAGCUCCUGCUGCAUGGUGGGGGUUGGAAAGUUUCGGCGGUUGGGGAUGGACUCGCGGCUUAUCCGCUUGUUGGUGGGGUAGUGGCUUACCAAGGCUUUGACGGGUAGCCGGCCUGAGAGGGUGACCAGCCACAUUGGGACUGAGGGACGGCCCAGACUCCUACGGGAGGCAGCAGUGGGGAAUAUUGCACAGUGGGCGGAAGCCUGAUGCAGAAACGCCGCGUGCGGGAUGACGUCCUUCGGGUUGUAAACCGCUUUCGCCUGUGACGAAGCGUGAGUGACGGUAAUGGGUAAAGAAGCACCGGCUAACUACGUG
rnacentral:rRNA from 1 species